rnacentral:rRNA from 1 species
AACGAACGCUGGCGGCAGGCUUCACACAUGCAAGUCGAACGGGCCCUUCGUGGUCAGUGGCAGACGGGCGAGUAACGCGUGGGAACGUGCCCUUCAGUUUGGGAUAACCCAGGGAAACUUGGGCUAAUACCGGAAACGUGCGAGAUCAGAACGAUUUAUCGCUGAAGGAUCGGCCCGCGGCUGAUUAGCUGGUUGGUAGGGUAGUGGCCUACCAAGGUGACGAUCAGUAGCUGGUCUGAGAGGAUGAUGCAGCCACAUUGGGACUGAGACACGGCCCAAACUCCGACGGGAGGCAGCAGUGGGGAAUAUUGGACAAUGGGCGCAAGCCUGAUCCAGCCAUGCCGCGUGAGUGAUGAAGGCCUUAGGGUUGUAAAGCUCAUUCAGUGGGGACGAUAAUGACGGUACCCGCAGAAGAAGCUCCGGCUAACUUCGUGCCAGCAGCCGCCGUAA